UACGGAGGGAGCUAGCGUUGUUCGGAAUUACUGGGCGUAAAGCGCACGUAGGCGGCUAUUCAAGUCGGGGGGUGAAAGCCCGGGGGCUCAACCCCGGAACUGCCCCUCGAAACUAGAUAGCUAGAAUCUUGGAGAGGCGAGUGGAAUUCCGAGUGUAGAGGUGAAAUUCGUAGAUAUUCGGAAGAACACCAGUGGCGAAGGCGACUCGCUGGACAAGUAUUGACGCUGAGGUGCGAAAGCGUGGGGAGCAAACAGG
rnacentral:rRNA from 1 species